CGAAUCUCUAAACACCAUCAUGACCUCCUCAAUCACCCUCCCAACAUGUCUGCUUCUGUACGGAAGGAGGUCCAGCUUCGGUUUCUGUUUACUUCUACCGGUAAUGUUCUUCCUAGGAGUUACUCAUUCUCUCCAAAAUCUCAUCUUAUGGGGUCAGAAAGGGGCUCUGAGAACCAGAACAUCUACUAUUCUAGACAGCUGGGAAUCUUGCCUAAUGUAAAAGAACAAAAGAAACGCUACCUUUGUACCCUACAUUCCAACACUUGGUCAGAAGAGCUUGUGUUUCUUUUCAUGCAGCCUGAGACUUCCCUCUUGCUCUGUUUUCAGAUAAACUACAGCUGCUUACAGCCUUCCGCUAUUCCCCAGUACUAAUUAACGAGUGGAGGAAUGAACUGGACCCAUUCCAACUGCCUUUACUUUUUUGUAGAGAACUCAGUCCUGUUUAAAUCACAUUAAUGAAGACAGUGAAUAACUCCAAGAGUCUCUGAAGACAUAAGAAACUUCACCAUGAAACCACCCAUUCUCUUCCCUUUUCUUUUCAACCUACAUUAGUUUAAACAACAACAACAACUAAACUAAACUAAAAACCCAUCUCCAGAUAGCUGGUGAUCCUGUGUUGAUGGAGUUUCAGUUGUGAGUAUAGUUCACAGCUCUCGUCGGCAGUGUGAACCUGGGAGGGGGAACCUAAAAAUGAGACAAACUAAAGUCCGGAGCAAUCGCCAACUUCACUCAGAGCAUCAGAAAAUUUAUACU
rnacentral:lncRNA from 1 species